GUUACGUUUGGAGAUUCAUGUUAACAGUCAUUGUUUAAUGAAAGGCACAUUGGACUACGGGUUAGUAUGUGUGACACUUGCAGCACUUUAACGUAAAUCUUAAACACCGUGUCCUAAAUAGACGUGACACGCGGUAACGGGUUUCUUUUCAGUUUAUGUCCUGACGUUAAGGACGGGAUAUUAUAAAUUAUGCCUUUCGAUUAUCACGACGCCUCGUCGCGUUUGGUUAAGCACAUGGUGGAACAGUAUGCACGUCACUGUACCUAACGUACUGUACACCUGUGAGCGGCAUGACGAGACAAAAGACGGUAAAACUCAUUAUUAAUCGGUGAUGCUGUACAUGCACCGCCACAUUUUAUAAUAAUGUUUUUUUUUUAUUUUCGUGUCGCGCCCCUCGCGUUCAAUAUAAAGUUAGACAUUACGCAAUUACUGGGAGAGUAACUGUUAUAGUGGUCUAAUGGUAAGGAGUCAAACUUCACGAACCUUUCACUGCUUGCAGUAAGGCUGAAGUGCUGAAUAAAAUGGGUGUAGUUUUGUGCUAACUUACUAGAUGUAAAGUGUGUUUUUUUUUUUUUUUUGCACUAUUGAGUUAUAAAUACUGCCCAGUAAUACUUAACUAGAUGUAAAUCACAAUUCUUGUGUCAAUGUUUGUUUGUAAUCUUUUUCAGCUAUCCACUGCCACUCGCAAAGGAGAUUGUGUUGUUGGAUUAUGGUAUCAUUUGGUCAAAAUGAGGGACAUGUACUGAGCAUUUUUCUUUUUUUUUUCUUUUUUUUGAUGGGCCAUCACACAGUGGAUUUAUAAAAAUGAGACUACAGAACAUCAGACGGAAGCUUCAACACGUGAGAGGACAUCAUCAAUAAAGAAUGCCAUUGACCAAACCUUCAGUCAUCAAAGGAGAUGGAUACAGGUGGACAUCGAGUUUUCCAGACUUACCGAUAGGAAAGAAGACAUGUUUAUCAGGAAAUGGGAGGUGACAAUUAUUGAGAAACUCAGGGAAAUAGCAUCUUUAGAGAAGAAAAUGGACAUCAGACAUUCAUUGACGAAAGCUGACAGUCAACAUAAUGAUGAGCUGUGUUAUACUCGUUCAUCUUCUGCUGUGUGAAUUCUGCUGUCUCAGACCUGUGGGACUUGGUGGCGGCUGGUACCAGCGUGACCUCUGCUUACUAAAUGAUGAAAAGGUGUCUAAAAUCAGCUCAGCCACAGUUGGUUUCCAGCGGUUCUUCAGGACAUAGAGGCCACUACGUAACUGUUGCAAUGAACAAUUCUCUCGCCUUUCCACUUGAUGUUGACAAUCUGACCUGUGCGGUAGACAGACUUUUCAAAUUUGCUAGCUAAGUAACCUUAAGUAUCCCUGCCAACUGUCUUCAGUUUUUUUUGUAUGAAUAUGAUCUACCCUUGUCCCAGUCCUCUUGCAAAUGAUCCAAGGCAAUGGAGUUUCAAAAUGGACCGCAAAAUUGCAGUCUGUUUUAAACAAUGCAUGCAGUGUGUGGCGGUUUCCCGGACAGGGAUUAGACUAGUCCUAGACUAAAACAUUUUUAAGAGCUGUCCAAACUGAAAACAACUUGCACUGACAUAUCUUAAAAUACAUCAGUGCCCUUUGUUUUGCCUCAAAAUGCACACAGGUAAUGUUUUUAGUAAGGCAUGUUUGUUAAAACCAGAUAUAUUUCCUAAUUAAUCUAAGGCCUAGUCCUGGAUUAAGAUAUCCCUGUCCGGGAAACCACCCCUAAAUAUUUUGUGAUGGAAAUUUCUUUGAAUACACUUGUCAAGUUCA